rnacentral:rRNA from 1 species
UAACGCGUGGGCAACCUGCCCCAUANAGGGGGACGAACAGCUGGUAAACGGCUGCUAAUACCGCAUAACAAGGAGAGAGCGCAUGUUCUUUUCUUCAAAGAUUUAUCGCUAUGGGAUGGACCCGCGUCUGAUUAGCUAGUUGGUGAGGUAACGGCUCACCAAGGCGACGAUCAGUAGCCGGCUUGAGAGAGUGAACGGCCACAUUGGGACUGAGACACGGCCCAGACUCCUACGGGAGGCAGCAG